AACAGUACAGUUUGUGCUUAUGAAAGAUGAUGAUUAGAUGUAACAAUAGAAGUUCACUUGAUCAAUUCCUUUUCAACUUUGGUUUUUUCAAACAAUAUUCAUUUCAAAUAUGAAGGAAGAUGACAAUUAAAAUAUAAUCAUCAAUUAUGUUAAUGAUGAUGAAAUAAGCAGAAUAAGGAAGAAAAUAUAGUUUUACAACUACCUUUCAAGAGAUUGAGAGAGUAAGAAAUAGAGGUGAGGUGACACGACCCACCCCGAAUUUCACCCUGAAACCCAGAAUAAGUCGUGCGGGGACCACCUCCAAGGAAAAUUUACUGAAAAGAUUAAGAAAAUCUCCCUUGUAGAUGGACAACCCUAACUCGAAAAUUUCAUAUUACACUUCUGAACAUCACAUAAUAUACAAAAAUUCUAAAGUAUUCAGAGCUACUAAACAUAAGCGGAAGCAAGAAAAUACGAGUAGGUUGAACAGGUAACCUACUGGCGAAAACUGGCCGAAAAGCGGGUGACUAUGCCUCGUCUCCUACUAGAUCCAACCCGAACUCUGCAGACUGGGCAAUUUAAAACGAAGGGCCCAGGGGAAAACAUUUAAUAACGUUAGAGUGAGUGGACAAAAAUAAAUUAAUAAUUAAAAUAU
rnacentral:lncRNA from 1 species